UCAACUUCGUGCUCUCUAUAAAGUGGAAAAAUCCCAAUUAUCGAGCCCUAGAUUUCUCACCGCUCAGAGUCGGUCUAGUCUUCUAACAUCGCAGACAAUUUCCCCGAGAAACAAACACAAAGUAAGACUGUGAUAGAGAGCAACUCCGAGAAAGUCCGGGAUAACUGAAACCUAAGAUGACGGACUACGAAGGAAGGUACGAAGGGAACGGAGAGGACGCUGACAACUAUGGCGAUGGGGGUUCCUCUCCCCAACCUCGUGCUACCAACCAUGGCGGUCCCGACGAUUACAGCGAUUCCAAAUCUCAGCAUGGCUCUCGUGACUAUGAGAGAGAAUCUUCAAAGAGUAGAGAAAAGGAAAGAGAAAAGGGGCGUGAUAAGGAGAAGGACAGGGACAGAGAUCGGGAGAGGGAGAGGGACAGAGAUAGAGAUAGGGGGAGAAGCAAGGACAAAGAUAGGGAAAGGGACAGGGACAGAGAUAGGAAUAGGGAUAGGGACCGAGAUAGAGAAAGAGAAAGGUCUCGAGACAGGGAUCGUGAUCGUCAUCAUAGGGACCGCCACAGGGAUCGCGAGAGAAGUGAGCGGAGGAGAGAUAAGGACGAUGACGAUGAUGAUCACUACCGUAUCCGGGACUCUGAUAGGCGGAGGGAUUAUGACAGAGACAGGGAGGAUAGGCAUAGGCGCAAGUCUCGGUCUCAUUCGAGGGGUAGAUCUGAGCACAAAUCCAGAUCGAGGUCACGUUCUCGUUCACGCUCAAAAAGCAAAAGGAUUAGCGGUUUUGACAUGGCGCCUCCUGCUUCUGCAAUGUUAGCUGGUGCUGCCGUUGCUGCAGCAGGGCAAAUUCCUGGGACUAGUCCGACCAUUCCUGGGAUGUUCCCAAACAUGUUCCCUCUAGCGACCGGUCAGCAGUUUGGAUCCCUUCCAGUUAUGCCUGUACAGGCAAUGACUCAACAGGCUACUAGGCAUGCCCGACGGGUGUACGUUGGAGGGCUUCCUCCUACAGCAAACGAACAGUCGGUUGCUACAUUUUUCAGCCAAGUUAUGGCUGCAAUUGGAGGGAAUACAGCUGCCCCAGGAGAUGCUGUUGUCAAUGUUUACAUUAACCACGAAAAGAAAUUCGCUUUUGUUGAGAUGAGAUCGGUUGAAGAGGCCAGCAAUGCAAUGGCUCUGGAUGGAAUUAUAUUUGAGGGAGCCCCUGUAAAGGUGAGGAGACCUAGCGACUACAACCCAUCUCUUGCUGCAACACUUGGUCCAAGCCAGCCAAGUCCCAAUCUGAACCUGGCUGCUGUUGGGCUUACACCGGGUUCUGCUGGUGGGCUUGAGGGUCCUGACCGCAUAUUUGUGGGUGGGCUACCCUAUUACUUCACAGAAGCACAGAUCAAGGAGUUGCUGGAAUCCUUCGGACCCCUUCGUGGUUUUGAUUUAGUGAAAGACAGGGAAACAGGAAACUCAAAAGGCUACGCUUUUUGUGUUUAUCAAGAUCUUUCAGUUACGGACAUAGCUUGUGCAGCACUUAACGGUAUUAAAAUGGGUGACAAGACGCUCACAGUUAGGCGUGCUAAUCAAGGUGCCAACCAGCCCAAACCAGAGCAAGAGAGUGUUUUGUUGCAUGCACAGCAGCAAAUUGCAUUGCAGAGGUUCAUGUUGUUGCAACCGCCUAGUUCUGUCGCCACCAAGGUUGUAUGUUUAACUCAAGUAGUAACUGCAGAUGAGCUUAGGGAUGAUGAUGAGUAUGAAGAUAUUUUGGAAGACAUGAGGCUGGAAGGCGGAAAGUUUGCCUUUUUUGUAGUCACACAUUCUGCUAUAAAGAUUCAGGCCUAACAUUCAGACAGAAGCCUCCCUAACCUUCUAACUGAAUUCAUCUACGAUUUGUUUUGUUGUCUAUUUCUAAGAUCUAUUUGUUUUUCACUGAUUUGCAGGACCGUUAGUGAAUGUCAUCAUCCCACGUCCAAGACCAGAUGGUGAACUGUCACCUGGAGUUGGGAAGGUGUUUUUAGAGUAUGCAGAUGUUGACGGUUCUACGAAAGCCCGCACUGGGUUGAAUGGCAGGAAGUUUGGUGGUAAUCAGGUGGUAGCAGUGUUUUACCCGGAAGACAAGUUUGCCCAGGGCGAUUACGAGGGCUAGUUGUUUGUCCUAAUAUACAUAUUAACUGGAUUGUCAAGAUUUCUUAAUUAGAACUUUCGAGUUUGCUAUUUCCUCAGUGUUCUACAUUUAGUGGUAUCUUGUAGCCUAGUAAGUAAACUAGGAUGAUUGUUCCUUUUUUAGUUUCUUUUUUUGGUUGAAAA